CCUACGGGAGGCAGCAGUGAGGAAUCUUCCACAAUGGGCGAAAGCCUGAUGGAGCAACGCCGCGUGAAGGAUGAAGGCCUUCGGGUUGUAAACUUCUUUUAUGAGUGAAGAAUAUGACGGUAACUCAUGAAUAAGCACCGGCUAACUACGUGCCAGCAGCCGCGGUCAUACGUAGGGUGCAAGCAUUAUCCGGAGUGACUGGGCGUAAAGAGUUGCGUAGGCGGUUUAGUAAGUGAAUAGUGAAACCUGGUGGCUCAACCAUACAGACUAUUAUUCAAACUGUUAAACUCGAGAGUGGUAGAGGUAACUGGAAUUUCUAGUGUAGGAGUGAAAUCCGUAGAUAUUAGAAGGAACACCAAUGGCGUAGGCAGGUUACUGGACCAUUUCUGACGCUAAGGCACGAAAGCGUGGGGAGCGAACUGGAUUAGAUACCCAGGUAGUCCACGCCGUAAACGAUGGAUACUAGCUGUUGGAGGUAUCGACCCCUUCAGUAGCGAAGCUAACGCGUUAAGUAUCCCGCCUGUGGAGUACGGCCGCAAGGCUAAAACAUAAAGGAAUUGACGGGGACCCGCACAAGCGGUGGAUCAUGUUCUUUAAUUCGAUGAUAAACGAAGAACCUUACCAGGGUUUGACAUCCCGAGAAGAUUUACGAAAGUAAAUUGUGCCUUUUGGAACUCGGUGACAGAUGAUGCAUGGCCGUCGUCAGCUCGUGUCGUGAGAUGUUUGGUUAAGUCCAUCAACGAGCGCAACCCUUGUGAAUAGUUGAAUUUUUCUAUUCAGACUGCCCCGGCAACGGGGAGGAAGGAGGGGAUGAUGUCAGGUCAGUAUUUCUCUUACAUCCUGGGCUAGAAACGUGAUACAAUGGCAAGUACAAUGCGCAGCGAAGCCGUGAGGUGAAGCAAAUCGCACCAAAGCUUGUCCCAGUUCGGAUUGGAGGCUGAAACUCGCCUCCAUGAAGUCGGAAUCGCUAGUAAUCGCAGGUCAGCAAACUGCGGUGAAUACGUUCCCGGGUCUUGUACACACCGCCCGUCAAGCCAUGAAAGUGACCAACACCCGAAGUCCGAUUCGUCGGCCUAAGGUGGGGGGCAUGAUUGGGGUUAAGUCGUAACAAGGUAUCCGUACCGGAAGGUGCGGAUG
rnacentral:rRNA from 1 species